rnacentral:lncRNA from 1 species
GCUCACAGAUCUGGCAUGGAGACAAUUUGGAGUAAAGAACAGCUGGAGUAGUGGAGGCACACCAGAGGCGAAGGAUGAGAUAGCGGAGACAUGCCGCAUGUAGUGACGAGGCGGAGGAGUGACGAACCGGAGGCGAGGUGUGACGAACCGCAGGCAGAGGCGCGACUAACCGAAUGCAGAGGCGCGACGAAUUGAGGCAGUGACGUUACAAACCAGAGGCUGAGGCGGAGCUGUGCCGGCGAAGUUAAAUCUCCGGUCAAGCUCACGCUUUUGUAUAUAUGUUAUAUGUAUGAUAUAUAAAUAUGUAUAUGACACCAUAUAUACGAAAAACAUAUUUGUAUUGUUUUUUAAUUCAUUAAUUCUUAAUUUACUAAUUAUAUUUUUUUUUGUUUUUUUUUAAUAAAUAGUCACGGAAUAGUCACAAACACUAAGCGUGAUAAAUAUAAACCACGAAAAAUAACAGUGUCAAAAACGUGACUGUUUUAUACACGUUUAGUCACGGUAAAUUUUGGUCACGAUCGUAUACACACGAAAUUUUUUCGUGACUUUUCGUGUCUACAUCAAUGUAUAGUCACGAAAAAUUAGCGUUAGUCAUGAAAAUUUUCGUGUCUAUAUAACAUUUUUCUACUAGUGCUAAUCACUUGAGUCACAACUUUUCGACCUCGACUAGGCAGCUUUCCUCAACCGCUUGCUCUCUGGAAAACAUUCUUUCUACAAUAUGAAAAAACACAGUUGUGAGAAAUGGCAUGCAUACAAUUUUGUCUUUCUGGUAAAAUCUUAUUAAAUUAAUCAUUGAGGGAAAAAAAAAACUUGCCUUUAGCCAGUACAGUCGCCGCUUCUCGGAAGCUUCAACAUGCUCAGUAAUACCCUCCUCCUGCUUGCUAAAAUGGUUAGACAAAAACGUAUUGAUUACAAAAAGAGAGAGAGAGAGAGAGGAUGCUUACUAGGGAGAUAUGUUUUUUACUCGAGAGAUGCUUCAUGAAUUUAUCCAGGCGUUUGCGCUUAGAGAAGCACAUUUUGCAAUAAAACAUUCCGGUAGACUCAACAACGCUUUCACUACUUCCACUGCACUUCCGAAGAACAUGUCUUUUGGUCUCUGAAACUAAUAGCUUUAAGAGAUUAGUUUGGUGGUUAUAUAUAUAUAUAUAUAUAUGGAAGUGGAUAGAAGAGAGGUAAUAAAACAAAACACCUGCAAGUAAGCUAUCCCAGAGCCACUCGGCAGAAGUGAGCAUGACUGACAUUUUCCAAGGCCUAAAAGAAUAAGCCCAAAACAGGUUGUAUUUCUUUAGUUGUUUUAGCCUGGCAAGACUACCUCCUAACAAAUAUUCAGCCCCAUCCGAUAUGAUCAUCAUUGUAGUCGGAGUAGGAUUGUUAUCUCGCCAUAGCUUCAAAUCAUCAAACAUGCGACUGUAUAUGAAUUCUGUUGUUUCAACAAAACAAAAGGUAAAUUGCAUGCAAGGGAUAGUUGCUAAUUUAUUUUUAUUUUUUUAAAUUCCAAAUGGACUAACCCGGAAGGGCAUGUGCAACAUCGAUUCCAGUGGAAGAGAGGGCAUGAAGGUGGCGUUCAGGGGUUUGUUUAUGGUCACCAAAGGCAGUGAUGGAGACAGGACCAGAGUAGCCUAGUUCCUUGAAAGCUCCUUCCAAACUGGGACGGACCCGACGAGCAUCAUAACCGUCGGGAAUAGGACACUCAGACAUGUCCCAACACACAUGGAUUUUAGCUGUCGCAUAUUCAGGCGUCGCAGCAUAGUUCUUCCCCCACCUCUUCGUUACAGAUAUAAGUUGUGUAGGCUGAGGGUUUAACACCUCCUGUAAAACCAAUAUGUUUUAACUCUUAAUUAAACUGAUUUUUUUUUUUUAAUAAUUAAGCAGAGAGAGAGCGAAAGGAUGGUUACUUCUAUUGCAUGCUUUUUAGUGGAGAGAUGCUUUUUGAAACUCUUCACGCUUUGGCAAUCCAAAGAGCAAAAUUCGCAAUGAAACACGGUAGAUAAUUCACCCGCCGUGUCUACGCUUGUCGACGUCGUCCCAUGUAGUAAUUUUUCCCAGAGCCACUCUUUGCGAGUGUACACGAACAAUGCUGCGACAGGCCUAAUUGAAUAAGCCAGAAAAAUGUUGUAACUCGUGCGUUGUUGUAGCCGGGCCAGAUCCCAGUUGAAGACAUCUAGCAUCUGAUUGGUUAUGAUCAUCAUUGUAGCCGGAGGAGGAUUAUCCUCUCGCCAUUUCACCAUAUCAAGGUACAUGACUGCGCACGUGCUUUCUGUUUCAUUACAAAGGAAACAUACUCACUAUAGAUACACAAGAUCUAACUAUAACAUUUUUUAUAUUUAUGAUAUAACAACUAAUUGGACUAACCAGAUCCGAUAUGUACCACCGCGACUCCAGUGGAAGAUAGAGCUCGUAGCACGUGUUCUCACUAGUAGAAAUUACUCCUAUAGUCACGUUUUAGUCACUUAUGUGUGUGACUAUUUUUUGAUUAGUCACGAAAAAGUCUCGAUUAGUCACAAAAUAUGAAAAUAGGAAAAAACGUGACUAAUCGUGUCAUUUCCGUGGCACUAAUAGUCAUGUUUUUGUCACAAAAGAUAAUGUGACUAGAUAUAGACACGUUUUGCCACAAUAAUUUCGUGACUAAUCGGACAUAAUUAAAAACCGUGACCAGAUGGUGUUACUUUUUUUAAGUAGUCAUGAAUUUGUCACAUUUUGUUCACGACUAUUUAAAUCUCUAAACCCUAAGUGAAAUUUUGAAACCCUAAACUCUGAAUAUGCAAUGUAGUUUACUAUAUUAUAGCUUAAACUAAGAUCUAACUCUUAUACAGAGUUAAAAGAUUUUAAUUUCUUUUUUCAAAUCAUAACUUUAAACAUAACCACAAACCCUACUUCAAACCCUACUUUAAACCUUACCACAAACCUUAUCCAAACAUCAAAACUUAAAUAAUAAAAUGACUCAAAUAUAAAAAUUCUAGUUAGUUAAAAAUGUAAAUAAAAAAUAUAAUUUUAUAUAUACUCAGAAGUCAAAUUUGUAGUUUAAAAACAAUUUUUAAUUUUUCUCCUUUUAAAUGUGAACUAAAUCAUUUUAAAUAUGGAUUGAAUCCUUUAAAAUUUUAAAUUCCUCAAUUUUGAAGUUAACUUCUACAUUACAUUUUUAAAUUUUAUAUCUAAUAAUCUAAAUUAUCUGAAAACUAUGAACCAAAUACCUAGAAAUAACAACCUAACGAUAAUAACAAAAUACAUAUAAUGGUAGAGGAUGCAUGUGUUACAAAGAAAAAAGAAAACAAAGUCGGGAAAAAAAGAAAAAAAAAGAAAGAAAGAUAAAAGCAAGAUACUUUAGUGAAAUUUUCUCAUUGGUCUAUACCUUUUGACAAGGAUAACUGUCUUAACCAUUGAUCAAUUUGAUCUAAUGGCUCAUAUUACUUCCUUCCUUUUUCUCUCGUUCUCCCAUGUACCUUUUCCUCUGUAAACAAGUAUUAUCUUCUUCUACAAACGAUUCUCUUCCUCUUAACACAAACAAAUCGAUUUCAUCGAUUCUGGUCACCUAAUUCCUUUCUUCUACUCCACUCACAUAAUCUUUUCAUCAACCACUAUCGUAUUUUAUCAAACCGAAUCUCUUCCUUCUGCCAUCACCAGAUCUCCUUCACUGUCUACCAAAUCUACUCCUACGAUACGAUGUUGUUGUUGCGCCAGAGACUGGUGUGAGAUGCAGUUAUCGUCGGAGUUGUUCGGCAUCAGAUCUAGAUCGUACAAACAUCCCGGCUCACAGAUCUGGCAUGGAGACAAUUUGGAGUAAAGAACAGCUGGAGUAGUGGAGGCACACCAGAGGCGAAGGAUGAGAUAGCGGAGACAUGCCGCAUGUAGUGACGAGGCGGAGGAGUGACGAACCGGAGGCGAGGUGUGACGAACCGCAGGCAGAGGCGCGACUAACCGAAUGCAGAGGCGCGACGAAUUGAGGCAGUGACGUUACAAACCAGAGGCUGAGGCGGAGCUGUGCCGGCGAAGUUAAAUCUCCGGUCAAGCUCACGCUUUUGUAUAUAUGUUAUAUGUAUGAUAUAUAAAUAUGUAUAUGACACCAUAUAUACGAAAAACAUAUUUGUAUUGUUUUUUAAUUCAUUAAUUCUUAAUUUACUAAUUAUAUUUUUUUUUGUUUUUUUUUAAUAAAUAGUCACGG